rnacentral:rRNA from 1 species
GUUAGGAAUAUUGGACAAUGGGCGAAAGCCUGAUCCAGCCAUGCCGCGUGAACGAUGAAGGCCUUCGGGUUGUAAAGUUCUUUAGCCGAUGAUUAUAAUGACUGUAGUCGGAAAAUAAGCCCCGGCUAACUUCGUGCCAGCAGCCGCGGUAAUACGAAGGGGGCGAGCGUUAUUCGGAAUCACUGGGCGUAAAGCGUGCGUAGGCGGUUUUGUAAGUUAGGAGUGAAAGCCCAGUGCUCAACCUUGGAAUUGCUCUUAAAACUGCAAGGCUCGAAUCUCGGAGAGGAUAGCGGAAUUUCCAGUGUAGCAGUGAAAUGCGUAGAUAUUGGAAGGAACACCAGUGGCGUAAGCGGCUAUCUGGACGAGUAUUGACGCUGAGGCACGAAAGCGUGGGGAUCAAACAGGAUUAGAUACCCGGGUAGUCC